rnacentral:tRNA from 1 species
UCCCUGGUCGUCUAGUGGUUAGGAUUUGGUGCUUUCACUACCAUGGCCCAGGUUCAAUCCCUGGCUGGGGAA